UAUAUAUUGAAGAAGCAGUACUUUGAUCCAGUGAAUAAAACUCUAGAUCAAAAUUAUGAUAGUAUUCCUGAUGGAAUAUCUAGUAGCAGUUGGAAUGAUUUGGUCAAUUAUUGGUUUUCACUAAAGGGCACGAAAUUAUCUCAACUUGGAAAAGAUGCUCGAGCAGUACGAGGUCAUAUUCACAACAGUGGUCCUACAAGCUUUGCUAAUCGAAGAGAAGAUCUUAAAGAGAAGAAGGGAGAGUAUAGCGAAUUGACGUUUUACAAAUCAAUUUAUGCCAAAGAAGAUGGAAGCUUUAAAGAGGGCACAAUAUCUCGUCAAAUUAUGG